GAACUCAUGCUUGAGAAGAAAACUGAGGAGAAUUCAGAAUAUCUUAUUCAGAUGGGAAAUCUGAAAGAGGAGUUGGUGAGCAAGGCUGCCGACCAACAGAGAAUACUGGAAGAGAAAGAGAGUUUAACAGGGAAGGUGAAGGACCUGGAAUUGGAGAUGGACUCCAUCCGGAACCACAGAAGCACACUGGAGGAGCAGCUAAGCAGUAAACACCAUGAGUACAAUCAGUUGAGAGAGGAAAAGGAGGGCUUGCAUGUAAGGAGUUUCGACUUGGAGAAAACAAUAACAGAGAGAGGGGACGAGCUCUCUGCUCUGCAGAAGAAGUUUGAGGAUACAGAGAAUGAAGCAUCAGCUCGAAUCGUGGCAUUAACAGCAGAGGUUAACAGUCUGCAAGUGGAGAUGGAUUCUUUGCAUGCUCAGAAAGGUGAAUUGGAAGAACAGCUGAGACGCAAUGGCGAUGAAGCAUCAGAUCAGAUCAAGGACUUGAUGGGCCAGCUCAAUGAAACAAAACAGGAAUUGGAAUCUCUACACAGCCAAAAAACCGAAAUGGAAUUGCUACUCAAGAAAAGAACUCUAGAAAAUUCAGAGUUCCUGAUUCAGAUCGGAAAUCUGAAAGAGGAGCUAGCGAACAAGGCUGUGGAUCAGCAGAGAACAAUGGAAGAGAAGGAGUGUUUGGUAUCGAAGGUGAAGGACCUGGAAUUGGAGAUGGACUCCAUAAGGAACCACAAAAGCGAACUGGAUGAGCAGCUACGCAGUAAACACCAUGAGUACAAUCAGUUGAGAGAGGAAAAGGAGGGCUUGCAUGUUAGGAGUUUUGACUUGGAGAAAACAAUAACAGAGAGAGGGGACGAGCUCUCUGCUCUGCAGAAGAAGUUUGAGGAUACAGAGAAUGAAGCAUCAGCUCGAAUCGUGGCAUUAACAGCAGAGGUUAACAGUCUGCGAGUGGAGAUGGAUUCUUUGCAAGCUCAGAAAGGUGAAUUGGAAGAACAGCUGAGACGCAGGGGCGAUGAAGCAUCAGAUCAGAUCAAGGACUUGAUGGGCCAGGUCAGUGAAACGAAACAGGAAUUGGAAUCUCUACACAGCCAGAAAACAGAAAAGGAAUUGCUACUCGAGAAAAGAACUCAAGAAAAUUCAGGGUUCCUGAUUCAGAUAGGAAAUCUGAAAGAGGAGCUAGCGAACAAGACUGUGGAUCAGCAGAGAAUGCUGGAAGAGAAGGAGAGUUUGGUAGCAAAGGUGAAGGACCUGGAAUUGGAGAUGGACUCCAUCCAGAACCACAAAAGCGAACUCGAGGAGCAGCUAAGCAGUAAACACCAUGAGUACAAUAAGUUGAGUGAGGAAAAGGAGGGUCUGCAUGUUAGGAGUUUUGACUUAGAGAAAACAUUAACAGACAGAGGGAAUGAGUUAUCUGCUCUCCAGAAGAAACUUGAGGAUGGGGCGAGUGAAGCAACUGCUCAAAUUCUGGCCUUAACAACACAAGUCAACAAUCUGCAACAAGACAUGGAAACCUUGAUUGCACAGAAAAGUGAAUUGGAGGAUCAAAUAGUGAGCAAAAGCAAUGAAGCUUCAGCUGAAAUCAAGGGCUUAAUGGACCGGAUCACUGAGAUGCAACAGGAAUUGGAUUCUCUAAGCAGCCAGAAAACCGAAAUGGAAUCACAGCUCGAGGGAAAAGUUCAAGAAAAUUCAGAAUACUUUAGUCAAAUAGGAAGUCUGAAAGACGAGCUAGUGAGCAAGGCUGCGGAUCAGCAGAGAAUGCUGGAAGAGAUAGAGAGUUUAACAGCACGGUUAAAGCACCUGGAAAUGGAGAUAGAGUUGAUUCGGAAACACGAAUGCGAACUUGAAGAGCAUAUAAGAGCCAAAGACCUGGAGUUCAAUCAGUUGAGAGAGGAAAAGGAGGGCUUGCACGUUAGGAGUUUUGACUUGGAGAAAACAAUUACAGACAGAGGGGAUGAGCUGUCUGCUCUACAACAGGAGCUGCAUUCCUUGCAGAAUGAGAAAAGCCAAUUGGAGUUAGAGAUCCAAAGACAUAAAGAAGAAUCUUCGGAAAGCCUGACGGAAUUGGAGAAUCAGAGGAUGGAGUUAACCAGCAAGGUUGAAGAACAUCAGAGAAUGCUAAGAGAACAGGAAGAUGCAUUCAACAAGUUAAUGGAGGAGUACAAACAAUCUGAAGGUUUGUUUCACGAGUUCAAGAAUAACCUGCAAGUCACAGAAAGGAGGUUGGAAGAAAUGGAGGAAGAGUCCCGCAUUCACCUUGAAUCCAAAGCCCACAUAAUUGCUGAUUUUGAAACCAUGGUUGAAGACCUGAAAAGAGACCUAGAAGUCAAAGGAGAUGAACUCAGUACUUUGGUGGAGGAGGUCCGCAAUAUCGAAGUUAAGCUCCGCUUAUCAAACCAGAAGCUCCGUGUCACAGAACAAUUACUAUCCGAGAAAGAAGAGAGCUACAGGAGAGCAGAAGAGAGGUUCCAGCAAGAAAACAGGGCACUUGAAGGAAAAGUUGCAGUAUUAUCAGAAGUAAUUACUUCCAACAAUGAAUCCCAUGUCAGGAUGAUCACAGAUAUCUCAGAGACAGUAAACAAUACCUUAGCUGGA
rnacentral:lncRNA from 1 species